rnacentral:rRNA from 1 species
CUUGACAUCCACAGAAGAAUCCAGAGAUGGAUUUGUGCCUUCGGGAACUGUGAGACAGGUGCUGCAUGGCUGUCGUCAGCUCGUGUUGUGAAAUGUUGGGUUAAGUCCCGCAACGAGCGCAACCCUUAUCCUUUGUUGCCAGCGGUCCGGCCGGGAACUCAAAGGAGACUGCCAGUGAUAAACUGGAGGAAGGUGGGGAUGACGUCAAGUCAUCAUGGCCCUUACGACCAGGGCUACACACGUGCUACAAUGGCGCAUACAAAGAGAAGCGACCUCGCGAGAGCAAGCGGACCUCAUAAAGUGCGUCGUAGUCCGGAUUGGAGUCUGCAACUCGACUCCAUGAAGUCGGAAUCGCUAGUAAUCGUGGAUCAGAAUGCCACGGUGAAUACGUUCCCGGGCCUUGUACACACCGCCCGUCACACCAUGGGAGUGGGUUGCAAAAGAAGUAGGUAGCUUAACCUUCGGGAGGGCGCUUACCACUUUGUGAUUCAUGACUGGGGUGAAGUCGUAACAAGGUAACCGUAGGGGAACCUGC